rnacentral:rRNA from 1 species
AUUGAACGCUGGCGGCAAGCCUAACACAUGCAAGUCGAGCGGCAGCGGGUCCUUCGGGAUGCCGGCGAGCGGCGGACGGGUGAGUAAUGCCUAGGAAUCUGCCUGGUAGUGGGGGAUAACGUUCGGAAACGGACGCUAAUACCGCAUACGUCCUACGGGAGAACGUGGGGGAUCUUCGGACCUCACGCUAUCAGAUGAGCCUAGGUCGGAUUAGCUAGUUGGUGGGGUAAAGGCUCACCAAGGCGACGAUCCGUAACUGGUCUGAGAGGAUGAUCAGUCACACUGGAAAUGAGACACGGUCCAGACUCCCACGGGAGGCAGCAGUGGGGAAUAUUGGACAAUGGGCGAAAGCCUGAUCCAGCCAUGCCGCGUGUGUGAAGAAGGUCUUCGGAUUGUAAAGCACUUUAAGUUGGGAGGAAGGGCAGCUAGUUAAUACCUGGUUGUUUUGACGUUACCAACAGAAUAAGCACCGGCUAACUUCGUGCCAGCCGCCGCGGUAACAC